CUCUGAUUAAAGAAUUAAAUCAGGGCCGAAGGAG
rnacentral:ncRNA from 1 species